rnacentral:rRNA from 1 species
GAGAUAGCUGGUUCUCUCCGAAAUAGCUUUAGGGCUAGCCUCGUGAUUGAGAAUACUGGAGGUAGAGCACUGUUUGGACUAGGGGGGCAUCUCGCUUUACCGAAUUCAGACAAACUCCGAAUGCCAGAUAUUUAUACACGGGAGUCAGACUGCGAGUGAUAAGAUCCGUAGUCAAAAGGGAAACAGCCCAGACCACCAGCUAAGGUCCCAAAGUAAUCGUUAAGUGGAAAAGGAUGUGGCGUUGCUUAGACAACCAGGAUGUUGGCUUAGAAGCAGCCAUCAUUUAAAGAGUGCGUAAUAGCUCACUAGUCGAGUGACACUGCGCCGAAAAUGUACCGGGGCUAAACAUAUUACCGAAGCUGUGGAUUGUCCGUAGGACAAUGGUAGGAGAGCGUUCUAAGGGCGUUGAAGCAUGAUCGCAAGGACAUGUGGAGCGCUUAGAAGUGAGAAUGCCGGUGUGAGUAGCGAAAGACGGGUGAGAAUCCCGUCCACCGAUUGACUAAGGUUUCCAGAGGAAGGCUCGUCCGCUCUGGGUUAGUCGGGUCCUAAGCUGAGGCCGACAGCGUAGGCGAUGGAUAACAGGUUGAUAUUCCUGUACCACCUAGCAUCGUUUUAAUCGAUGGGGGGACGCAGUAGGAUAGGCGAAGCGUACGAUUGGAUUGUACGUCUAAGCAGUGAGAUUGAGUGUUAGGCAAAUCCGGCACUCUUAAGAUUGAGCUGUGAUGGGGAGAGGAAAUUGUUUCCUCGAGUCGUUGAUUUCACACUGCCGAGAAAAGCCUCUAGAUAGAUAAUAGGUGCCCGUACCGCAAACCGACACAGGUAGUCAAGAUGAGAAUUCUAAGGUGAGCGAGCGAACUCUCGUUAAGGAACUCGGCAAAAUGACCCCGUAACUUCGGGAGAAGGGGUGCUCUUUAGGGUGCAAGCCCAGAAGAGCCGCAGUGAAUAGGCCCAAGCGACUGUUUAUCAAAAACACAGGUCUCUGCUAAACCGUAAGGUGAUGUAUAGGGGCUGACGCCUGCCCGGUGCUGGAAGGUUAAAAGGAGUGCUUAGCUUCGGCGAAGGUACGAAUUGAAGCCCCGGUAAACGGCGGCCGUAACUAUAACGGUCCUAAGGUAGCGAAAUUCCUUGUCGGGUAAGUUC